CCCGCUGAACUUAAGCAUAUCAAUAAGCGGAGGAAAAGAAACUAACAAGGAUUCCCCUAGUAACUGCGAGUGAAGCGGGAAAAGCUCAAAUUUAAAAUCUGGCAGUCUUUGGCUGUCCGAGUUGUAAUCUAGAGAAGUAUUAUCCGCGCUGGACCGUGUACAAGUCUCCUGGAAUGGAGCGUCAUAGAGGGUGAGAAUCCCGUCUUUGACACGGACUGCCAGGGCUUUGUGAUAUGCUCUCAAAGAGUCGAGUUGUUUGGGAAUGCAGCUCAAAAUGGGUGGUAAAUUCCAUCUAAAGCUAAAUAUUGGCGAGAGACCGAUAGCGAACAAGUACCGUGAGGGAAAGAUGAAAAGAACUUUGGAAAGAGAGUUAAACAGUACGUGAAAUUGCUGAAAGGGAAACGCUUGAAGUCAGUCGCGUUGGCCAGGGAUCAACCUUGCUUUUGCUUGGCUUACUUUCUGGUCGAUGGGUCAGCAUCAAUUUUGACUGGUGGAAAAAGUUCAAGGGAAUGUGGCAUCUUCGGAUGUGUUAUAGCCUUUGUUCACAUACAUUGGUUGGGAUUGAGGAACUCAGCACGCCCCAAGGCCGGGUUUUUAACCACGUACGUGCUUAGGAUGCUGGCAUAAUGGCUUUAAUCGACCCGUCUUGAAACACGG
rnacentral:rRNA from 1 species